UACAGAGACCUCAAGCGUUAUCCGGAAUCAUUGGGCGUAAAGCGUACCGAUAGGUGGUUUUACAAGUCAGAGGUGAAAUCCCAAGGCUCAACUUUGGGACUGUCCUUUGAAACUGUACAACUAGAGGGGCAAAGAGGAAGCUGGAACGAACGGUGUAGUAGUGAAAUGCGUUGAUAUCGUUCGGAACACCAAUAGCGUAGGCAGGCUUCUGGGUGCCACCUGACACUGCUAGGACGAAAGCGUGGGGAGCGAACCGG
rnacentral:rRNA from 1 species